GACGAACGCUGGCGGCGUGCCUAAUACAUGCAAGUCGAGCGAAUGGAUUAAGAGCUUGCUCUUAUGAAGUUAGCGGCGGACGGGUGAGUAACACGUGGGUAACCUGCCCAUAAGACUGGGAUAACUCCGGGAAACCGGGGCUAAUACCGGAUAACAUUUUGAACCGCAUGGUUCGAAAUUGAAAGGCGGCUUCGGCUGUCACUUAUGGAUGGACCCGCGUCGCAUUAGCUAGUUGGUGAGGUAACGGCUCACCAAGGCAACGAGGCGUAGCCGCCCGGACAGGGUGAUCGGCCGAACUGGGACUGAGACACGGCCCAGACUCCUACGGGGGGAAGCGGUAGGGAAUCUUCCGCAAUGGACGAAAGGCUGACGGAGCAACGCCGCGGGAGUGAUGAAGGCGUUCGGGUCGUAAAACUCUGUUGUUAGGGAAGAACAAGUGCUAGUUGAAUAAGCUGGCACCUUGACGGUACCUAACCAGAAAGCCACGGCUAACUACGUGCCAGCAGCCGCCGUAA
rnacentral:rRNA from 1 species